GGUAACAGGCAAGAGCUUGCUCUUGUGCUGACGAGUGGCGGACGGGUGAGUAAUGCUUGGGAAUCUGGCUUAUGGAGGGGGAUAACUGCGGGAAACUGCAGCUAAUACCGCGUAGUAUCGGAAGAUGAAAGUACGGGACCUUAGGGCCGUAUGCCAUAGGAUGAGCCCAAGUGGGAUUAGGUAGUUGGUGGGGUAAAGGCCUACCAAGCCUGCGAUCUCUAGCUGGUCUGAGAGGAUGACCAGCCACACUGGAACUGAGACACGGUCCAGACUCCUACGGGAGGCAGCAGUGGGGAAUAUUGCGCAAUGGGGGCAACCCUGACGCAGCCAUGCCGCGUGAAUGAAGAAGGCCUUCGGGUUGUAAAGUUCUUUCGGUGACGAGGAAGGCAUUUAGUUUAAUAGACUAAGUGACUGACGUUAAUCACAGAAGAAGCACCGGCUAACUCCGUGCCAGCAGCCGCGGUAAUACGGAGGGUGCGAGCGUUAAUCGGAAUAACUGGGCGUAAAGGGCACGCAGGCGGAUUUUUAAGUGAGGUGUGAAAGCCCCGGGCUUAACCUGGGAAUUGCAUUUCAGACUGGGGAUCUAGAGUACUUUAGGGAGGGGUAGAAUUCCACGUGUAGCGGUGAAAUGCGUAGAGAUGUGGAGGAAUACCGAAGGCGAAGGCAGCCCCUUGGGAAUGUACUGACGCUCAUGUGCGAAAGCGUGGGGAGCAAACAGGAUUAGAUACCCUGGUAGUCCACGCUGUAAACGCUGUCGAUUUGGGGGUUGAGCUUUAAGCUUGGCGCCCGUAGCUAACGUGAUAAAUCGACCGCCUGGGGAGUACGGCCGCAAGGUUAAAACUCAAAUGA
rnacentral:rRNA from 1 species